AUUGAACGCUGGCGGAAUGCUUUACACAUGCAAGUCGAGCGGCAGCACGGGGGCAACCCUGGUGGCGAGCGGCGAACGGGUGAGUAAUACAUCGGAACAUGCCCAGUCGUGGGGGAUAACACUUCGAAAGAAGUGCUAAUACCGCAUACGUCCUGAGGGGGAAAGCGGGGGAUCGCAAGACCUCGCGCGAUUGGAGUGGCCGAUGUCAGAUUAGCUAGUUGGUGGGGUAAAGGCCUACCAAGGCAACGAUCUGUAGCUGGUCUGAGUGGAUGAUCAGCCACACUGGGGCUGAGACACGGCCCAGACUCCUACGGGAGGCAGCAGUGGGGAAUUUUGGACAAUGGGGGCAACCCUGAUCCAGCCAUUCCGCGUGAGUGAAGAAGGCCUUCGGGUUGUAAAGCUCUUUCGGCAGGAACGAAACGGUGAGCUCUAACAUAGCUUGCUAAUGACGGUACCUGAAGAAGAAGCACCGGCUAACUACGUG
rnacentral:rRNA from 1 species